CGGAGCUGCCCUUCAGUCCAGAGCCGCCUCUCUGUCCGGAGCUGCUUUUCAGUCUGGAGUUGCCCCUCUGUCGUGAGCUACCUCUCUGUCGUGAGCUACCUCUCUGUCUUGAGCUACCUCUCUGUCCUGAGCUACCUCUCUGUCCUGAGCUAUCUCCUCUAUCUAGGGGGGGCCUUGGUGAAGGUUCCUAGACCAAGGUCGGGGGCGAGGGUCGCCACUCAAAGGACGCUAAGGAGGGGGACAAAGACAGUGGUAGAGUGGUGUCCUCGUCCUGCGCCGGAGCCGCCACCGCCACCGCGGACAGAUGCCCAGCCAGACCCUCCUUUUGAGUUUUAGGGGUGCGUUCAGAGUCCGCACCUCAGGAGGGGGGUACUGUAACGUCCUGACCAGAGUUUUUAUGUGUUUUGCUUGUUUAGUGUUGGUCAGGACGUGAGCUGGGUGGGAAUUCUAUGUUGUGUGUCUAGUUUGUCUGUUUCUGUGUCCAGCCUUAUAUGGUUCUCAAUCAGAGGCAGCUGUCAAUCGUUGUCCCUGAUUGAGAAUCAUAUAUAGGAGGCUUGUUUUGUGUUGGGAUUUUGUGGGUGAUUGUUUCCUGUCUCUGUGUUUGUGUUCUGCACCAGAUAGGUCUGUCUCGGUUUUCACAUUUAUUGUUUUGUUGUUUGUAGUGUUCACAUAUUCUUUAUUAAAUUAUGUUGAACACUAGCCGCGCUGCUUUUUGGUCCUCUCCUUCAUCCCAGGAAGAAAACCGUUACAACUUUAAAAACACCAGCUCCAAGUGAUUUUAAAUUAAGAAAUCUGUUCCCACGCAUAAUGGAGAGACACGUGAUCGUAUACAAAUGUAAAAAAGGUUUGAAAUUAUUAUGUUUUAGUCAAACCUUAUAUCUGUUUGGGCUUCUUGCGUUCAAUUUGCAGUCUACAAAUUAUUUUGUAAUUAUGCUCUGGCCCCCCGACCAUCCUCUCAAGAAAAAGUCGUCCCGCGGCUGAAUCUAGUUGAUGAUCCCUGGUUUAAUGGGUCCGUUUUAUUGUCAUCUGGCAUCUAUCAUUUUCUCACCUGACUUUACAUGGCUAAGCCUAAUAUCACGAGGGACAGCUGGUUGCUCGGUCACUUUUGCUAGCUGUAAUGUUAAAUCAUUAAAUCACCCAGUGAAACGUAAAAUGUUUUUUGCGCAUUUAAAUCAACUUAAUAAAUAUCGUCUUUCUUCAGGAGAAACAUAUCCGCAUUUUCGACCACUCUCGCUUAAAAAGAGGGUGGAUCAGUCAGUCAUAUCAUUCUAAUUUUCAUUCUAAAACUAGAGGAGCAGCCAUUUUAAUUAGUAAGAACAUACCGUUCGCAAUGUCAAGUGUAGAGGCAGACUCUGCAGGCCGUUUCAUUAUUGUAGUAGGAAGACCGUGUACUACACCUGUUAUCUUAGCAAACAUUUACGCACCAAAUUGGGACAACAGUUCAUUCUUCACAAAUGUACUUUCUCGAUUCCCAAAUAUGGAUGCCUAAUAUUAGAUGGUGAUAUGAAUUGUGUACUGUUCCCCAAUCAGUAUCGUAGCUCUCCUAGGGUAUCAUCUCCAGACUCGCAAUUAAUCUCUUAAAACAUAUGACUUAUAUGAUGCAUGGCAUUUCCGCAAUCCCACAGCUAGGGAGUAUUUUUUUUUCUCGACAGUUCAUAAGACCUUCUCACAUUUAGACCAAUUUUUCCUGGACAAUAGAUUUCUGAUUACCACGCUAUCGUCAUUUCGGAUCAUUCUCCCCUUACGACGAAGCUAAUUAUACCAAAUACACAGCCUAAUUAUCAUCCUUCGUGGUUUAACUCACUGCUGCUAUCAGAAGAAACAUUUGUUUGUUUUAUAUAAUCUCAAAUUGAGAUGCUUAAUCAAACCCCUGGAAUGUCUCCUACGACAGUAUGGGAAUCAAUGCAAGCCUAUCUAAGGGGUCAAAUUAUAUGUACAGCGCAAGAUUAAGGAAGUGCAAUAUUCAACGCCUUGGGGAAUUUACAAAUAAAAUCUUGGAUUUGGAUAUGGCAUAUUCACAGUCUUCAUCCCCAGACCUACUAAAACAAAGUUUGACACUUCAGAAGGAGUUUGAUCUUCUUUCAACUCGACAAACUGAAAAUCAUAUUAGUAAAUCUCGAUACCAAAAUUAUGAACAUGGAGUGAAAUCAGGGAAAAUUUUAGCACGUCAGGGAACAGCAAAUCAAACCAUACCUGAGAUAAAUGACGAGCUGGGUAAUGUAUUGAUCAUUAGUGAUCAAUUCAUGCUUUCAUAACUUUUACUCACAAUUGUGAGAGACCGGCUCAUAUCGGUUUUAUGUAGCAAAAUUUGAAAUUGUGUUUUUUACAUUGGAUAAAAGUAGACUGCAUUUUUGUGGAACAGUGGGAAAGUAAUUAUGCUUUGAAGUUGAUAAACUUGUAAACUUACUUUUGAGAAAAUGGCCUUUGAAUCUUUUGGUACCUACUGGAGAGCUCUCAUUUGUCUACACCCAUUCAGCAUUGUUCACACCCUCUUAACCCUUUCAUGCGUGAGUUCCAAAUAUUUCUAACGGUCGCCCCAGCGUGAGUUUUUUUAUGCACGUGAUGUUAGAACGUUCUCUCCAUUCCAGAAUGUGAUUGUUAUGUAACAGUACAUUUAACCUGCGCUGCCCUCAAACCAAAGCACGCAGCCUGUUUUAUUUGUCAAUUUAAAAUUAUUUUCUAACAAGUUUUUUAUUUUCUAAUAACAGUUUGAAAUGAUGUGUGUUUCGCCUUAUUCAUUCACAUAAAAGUAGUCAUUUUUACUUUUGCGGACCAAUUAAUUUUUGGGACAUUUCUGACCCGGACAAAAUUCCCCAAACACUUCUCAAUUGUUUGUGCAGGACAUUUACUCAUCUGCCGUCCUGCAUACACGUGUUCAUAUUUUCCACCUGUCGCCUGCAUCGAAAUCAAAGUUGUUUUCGUUACCAAUGAUACCUUUGGUAAUGUGUGCGUUUCUAUCAAAGUGCCUUAAUACGUUAUAAUAGUUUCUGCAUGUCGUGUUAUGUCGUUUCUACUGUAACGUCAUGUUUUUAUGUACAUUCCUUAUAACCGCGGACAGGCGAUGUAACGUUACUCAUUUCAUAACAUUUAUGGUGUUAUACUCAAUGCUUAGGUAUCUAGCUACAUUCUCCUAUUAGCUCUGGAAAACAAUGCUAAUUUCGUCAGGGAAGUAUUAGCAUGUGUUGUAUUUCGAAGCUACCCUGGCCUUAUGACUCCCAAGUGGCACAGCGUCUCAGCGCUAGAAGCGUCACUACAGAGACCCAUCUUCAAAUCAAGACUGCGUUUCUAUCAAAGUGGUCCACCUUCCCUGUGGCCAACAUGGUUGCUGUAUGGACAGUGGAGAGGACUUGGACGUCUCGUUUGUCAUGCCACUUUACUGCCAGCUGUUAACAUUUCUUAUUUUGUAUAACGGGUCAUUUAGGAUGGUAGUAGCGUUGAUGAAAUGCAGUCAUAGCAGCAGAACUAGAAAGCAGUCUUUACUGUCACCAGGAAUGUGUACAUUUCACAAAUUGUGGUUGUCCCCCACUCCUGGCUCUCUCUUCUCCUGUAGCUCCAAGGCAUAGUGAUUGGUCUCUACUAUGUCUCCCACCAGCUCCUCUGUCAGAAACAACUUGAAGCACUCUGCCUCAGUUGGAAAUGGCAAGGGGCGUUGCACUCCAGACUGGGACUCAUCAACACAAUCAGCAGGGCCAGGAGGGAUGAAAUGGCUGGCAGCCUUCCAGCUACCACAGAACUGUACUUCAUCCACUGUCAGUCUGCCACCAUCACCACCAGCAUCUUCAAAGGGACCUGGGACUUCGUCAGUGGACAAGGGAAAUUCAGAUUCAGGGUUCUCAGUGGCUACAAGGUUGGGGGGCAGCUCCUCACUCAGUCAGAAUCUGAUUCCUGACUUUCAUACUCUGACUCAUUGUCAGAAUUUUUAAAAAAUCUCCAUAAUUUCCACAUUUGUUUGUUGUCUCCUUUUGAAAGAUUGCUAAUGCUUCAGCUUAGCUCACUAGCUACAUACAUAAACAACAACACUGAAUGGUUUACAGUGAGAGGGUACGUGGUUGACUGCCGGCACGCGCCACUUGUAUCAAUAAAUCACUAUCAGAAAA